UUUCAGAUCACUCUUUUCAUUCAUUUUUCUGCUGCUGCUGUUCUGUAGAAUCCAGAGAGAUCAGCACCCAUGUCAGCCUGGAUAGUGGAUCUGGAUCUCUGUGUUUUCACACUAGGAGGCACCCGGGACAUGCUAACAGGACGGAUCGGUCCAGGAGGAAGCUGCCUCCCCCUCCUCCAGAUAACGAGGACGGAGACAUACUAGUGGUUGCCAUGUAUGACUUUACAGCGAAAGAGGACACGGACCUGACUUUGACUCAGGGAGACGAGUACACCAUCCUACACAAACAGGACCAGCUGUGGUGGAGGGCACAGGACAAACACGGAAAUAAGGGAUUUAUCCCCAGCAACUAUGUUACAG